CAAUAGCGUAUAUUAAAGCUGUUGCGGUUAAAAAGCUCGUAGUUGAAUGUUGGUGUCGAACGAGCGGUCAGCUUCGGCUGUACUGCUCUCUCGACUCCUUCCUUCUGUGGACUACGUCGCACUUUACUGUGUGGCGCUAGGACGCAGAUCGUUUACUGUGAAAAAAUUAGAGUGUUCAAAGCAGGCCGUACGCUUGAAUACAUUAGCAUGGAAUAAUGGAAUAGGACGUCGGGCCUAUUUUGUUGGUUCUAGGACCGUCGUAAUGAUUAAUAGGGACAGUUGGGGCCGUUUAUAUUCCGUAGUCAGAGGUGAAAUUCUUGGAUUUACGGAAGAUAAACUACUGCGAAAGCAUUCGGCAAGGAUGUUUUCGUUAA
rnacentral:rRNA from 1 species